AGGUGAGUUAGAUCUCAUAUCCUUCCGCAAAAUGGAAAUGAUAUGUAAUCUAGCUUACAG
rnacentral:pre_miRNA from 15 species